rnacentral:lncRNA from 1 species
GUAAAAAUAGCCUUCUCCAUGAAGUUCAGACCCCUCCCCAUAGAAGAUAAGGGCAGGACAUACCCACAGAAGAUUCGAAUGGAAGGACCUUGCCAAAGGUGGGACUGACUCUGGGAAAAGCCAGUCUCAGGUAGUUUAUUUCGAUGGAAGAGACAGAGCACUUCCUGUUUUCUAGCUAUACCCAUCCUUGCCACCAUGAGAUUCCACACUACACUGAAUCCAUCUUUACUUUCGCAGCUGCAGAUUCACAAGAAGCAACUGCUCCUCGCUCACAGCCAGGGACACCAGCACAUGGACAGCCAGUAACAGUCCAACACAGCCUGGUACUGGACUCCUCCUGGGUCACUAACCAAGCCACCAGCCCUUUCUCCAUCAACUGCUGUGCUGCUCUUCUAGAAAACUACAUAUGGAGGUGGGCUGUAUUGAGGCAACAGGAUAGCAUGACGGACCUUCAGGUCUCGAGAGAGGUGUAAGCCAUGUGUGGAGGUAACAAGGUAACAAGAUACUCCACUCAACAGCUCUGGAAGAGAAUCUGAAACCUACAGCCAGCCUCUAAGACUGAGCACCAAGUAAUAUCACAUAGGGCAGAGAAACCUGCUGGCUGAGCCUGUCUGCCCACAGAAAUGUGUGAGAGAGAAUAAAAUAAUUGCUGUCUAAACC